AUGUCUGUUCUGAAAUAUGUGGAGAAAGAAGGUAAAAAUGAAAAGAAAAGUCAGGCGCGUGGUCUUGUAGCAUAUUUUGAGACCUUUGAUUUUGUGUUUUAUUUGCACAUGAUGCUGCAUAUAUUAGGAAAUGCAAAUACUUUGUCACAUUCUUUACAAAAGAAGGAUCAAGACAUCCUAAAUGCCAUGUCAUGUGUCAAGUCCACAAGGAAUGAGCUACAAGAACUAAGGGAGAAUGGAUGGGACUCACUGAUACAGAAGUCAUAUUCAUUUUGUGAAGAACAUGACAUUGAGAAGGCGGACAUGCUGGAGCAAUAUAUCAAUCGACACAAACCAAGACAAAAAACUAAUAAGACAAACCUCCAGCAUUACCGAGUAGAGUGUCUUAAUUCUGUAAUUGACUGGCAACUUCAAGAGUUUGAUGACCGUUUCAAUGAGGUAAAUUCUGCAUUACUUGGUCACAUGGCUUCUUUCAACCCAAACGAUGGAUUUGUUACUUUUAACUUGGAUAGCUUAGUGAAGCUAGCUGAGUUUUAUCCAGAUGAUUUUGAUUCAAAAAAAAAUGGAUGA
rnacentral:rRNA from 1 species